UGCUUAACACAUGCAAGUCGAACGGAAAGGCCCUGCUUUUGUGGGGUGCUCGAGUGGCGAACGGGUGAGUAACACGUGAGUAACCUGCCCUUGACUUUGGGAUAACUUCAGGAAACUGGGGCUAAUACCGGAUAGGAGCUCCUGCUGCAUGGUGGGGGUUGGAAAGUUUCGGCGGUUGGGGAUGGACUCGCGGCUUAUCAGCUUGUUGGUGGGGUAGUGGCUUACCAAGGCUUUGACGGGUAGCCGGCCUGAGAGGGUGACCGGCCACAUUGGGACUGAGAUACGGCCCAGACUCCUACGGGAGGCAGCAGUGGGGAAUAUUGCACAAUGGGCGGAAGCCUGAUGCAGCAACGCCGCGUGCGGGAUGACGGCCUUCGGGUUGUAAACCGCUUUCGCCUGUGACGAAGCGUGAGUGACGGUAAUGGGUAAAGAAGCACCGGCUAACUACGUGCCAGCAGCCGCGGUGAUACGUAGGGUGCGAGCGUUGUCCGGAUUUAUUGGGCGUAAAGGGCUCGUAGGUGGUUGAUCGCGUCGGAAGUGUAAUCUUGGGGCUUAACCCUGAGCGUGCUUUCGAUACGGGUUGACUUGAGGAAGGUAGGGGAGAAUGGAAUUCCUGGUGGAGCGGUGGAAUGCGCAGAUAUCAGGAGGAACACCAGUGGCGAAGGCGGUUCUCUGGGCCUUUCCUGACGCUGAGGAGCGAAAGCGUGGGGAGCGAACAGGCUUAGAUACCCUGGUAGUCCACGCUGUAAACGGUGGGUACUAGGUGUGGGGUCCAUUCCACGGGUUCCGUGCCGUAGCUAACGCUUUAAGUACCCCGCCUGGGGAGUACGGCCGCAAGGCUAAAACUCAAAGGAAUUGACGGGGCCCCGCACAAGCGGCGGAGCAUGCGGAUUAAUUCGAUGCAACGCGUAGAACCUUACCUGGGUUUGACAUGGAUCGGGAGUGCUCAGAGAUGGGUGUGCCUCUUUUGGGGUCGGUUCACAGGUGGUGCAUGGCUGUCGUCAGCUCGUGUCGUGAGAUGUUGGGUUAAGUCCCGCAACGAGCGCAACCCUUGUUCACUGUUGUCAGCACGUUAUGGUGGGGACUCAGUGGAGACCGCCGGGGUCAACUCGGAGGAAGGUGGGGAUGACGUCAAGUCAUCAUGCCCCUUAUGUCCAGGGCUUCACGCAUGCUACAAUGGCUGGUACAGAGAGUGGCGAGCCUGUGAGGGUGAGCGAAUCUCGGAAAGCCGGUCUCAGUUCGGAUUGGGGUCUGCAACUCGACCUCAUGAAGUCGGAGUCGCUAGUAAUCGCAGAUCAGCAACGCUGCGGUGAAUACGUUCCCGGGGCUUGUACACACCGCCCGUCAAGUCAUGAAAGUUGGUAACACCCGAAGCCGGUGGCCUAACCGUUGUGGGGGAGCCGUCGAAGGUGGGACUGGUGAUUAGGACUAAGUCGU
rnacentral:rRNA from 1 species